GAGAGAAAGGCCACAAGGUGUGUGGGGUUUAGGUGCUAAGGUUAAAGUAAAAGUAGGUACACACUCCACAGAGUGUGGGCCAUCUCCGAAGAUGAGGAAGUGAGAGAGGCGGCCUGAAAUUUCUCUUGAUAAUGAAUUUUAGACUUUAUCACAAACCCAAGAGGAAUGUAGAUGACUACCAGGCUUAAAGUGCUCCAAGAAGAUCAAAGGAAGCAGAGGAAAAAGAAGAAAGCAGGCUGCAGAUUCUUUUCCAUUACCAAUUCCAUUUCACCCAAAGGACCUACAGCUAAAGCUGACGACGUUGGAGGUGAGUGGGGGUGGGGUGCAGCUUGAGCCGCCUCGGAGGCUCCGGAUCAGACGUUCAAUAAAGCACCCGGGGCGCCUACCGCAUUCAGAGAGCCAGCACGCCCUGAAGAGCUCCCAGCCAGUGGCCCCCAGCAACGGCGUUGUCCAACCCAAGCUUGUGCGCCCAGCGCACAGUGUGGCCAAACGAACCAAAACAUCGCGAUGUUUGGAAUAGAGAAAGGUUUAUUGACAGAGACGCCGCCGACAGAGACGAUGGAAGCGGAGGCAUAGGUUUGUCUCACAGCCAUUUUACCGGCUCGCCUGGGCGUAAGAUUUCUAAAGGCAAAAGGGGUAAAGGGGUCGAGGUCCUGGGGUGCGUGAUCAGCUCGUGUACAGUACUCUGAUUGGUGCGCGGUGACGUGACAGGUUGAUUAUUUUGAGAGUCAACAUCGUGGACCUUCUGGUUCCAAUCAGCCUGAGGUCUCCGUGUUUGUGGUCAGCACUAGUCCUCUUUUCUGCAGAACAACUCAAAGAUAAGCAUCAGAUUGUUAUGUAUAUCCCUUGACGGGGAACAGGACUCAGGACUCUGUUUUACAGCUGAACUAUAGUUUCUUGAUUGCUUUUCCUUUGUUUUUGCAUUUCCUCACUGUCCUAAUUAGUUAACUGCUUGAAUCUGCUCUUUGGAACUUAGGGAAGGCCUAGGAGACUACAGCCUUUUUCUGCAAACAAAAAAUGGGAAAGGGGGUGGCGUGGAGGGGAUUUUGAACCCAGGAGGGUCGCGCAGAGUCCUGCUCCAUUUUAACAGGAGAGCACCCUUACUAGAUCUACUGGAAAUCGCGACGGCAGUAGGGUGGGACUUUCCAAAGUCAUUUUGCUACACUCAGUACAUCUGGGCAGGGAGGAAAGCCAAGCCAACUAGAGAGAAGGCCGGUCAACUUCCCUCCCUCCCUGUAGAGACCAUUGGAGCAGCCUGUGGCUUGGCAUCUAUACGGAGCCAGCCCAGGGGGCUGUGGCCUUUCAUUGCGCCAGCAGGAGACAGUUACUGCUGCCACUCCUUGUUUGCAGAGCUCCCCGCAGCUUGGAGUGGCAAAUAAACAUCCUCUCACUUUGGGAGACAUGGGAAAGGGAGAGGGGCAGAGUUUAUCACUCAAACAUCGAAUGUUUAAUGAGUACCUACUAUGUGGCAGACAGGCUAGUCCUACACUUGGAAUCAGGAGGAAAAUCAGAGGGCAAUUAGCCGUUGAGUAGACAUUUACUGUUUGCCAGUGUGUGUGGCAAGCUAUGUGUGUUUUGUUCCUUAUUUUAUGCUCACCACCGCUCUAUGAGAGAUGCAUUUAUCAUCUCUUUUUAUCAAUGAGGAAACAGAUUCAGUGAGAUUAAAUCUCUUGCCCAAAGUAUCACACAGAUGGAGCAUUUCUGAGCUGGAGCCAACUCCAGGUUAAAGUGGCUGAUUCUACACUCCCUCACUUCCCCCUGAACUGAGGUCUGUGAUCCAUCACUUGGCAACGGCAGGACUGUUGAUCAAUCAUCCUGAGAUCUGACAAGGAAUAAGGAUCAUCCAAACAGUGUUUGAUAAUCACUGAAUGAGAAAGUGAACGUGAACCCCUUUUACAACUGAUAACUUAUGCGAAGUACCAUUGUUACAUAAGGAGAGGAAGUAGGUGUACUGAAAGCGGCCUCUUCCCCCUCUUCCUAGAAGAUGAAAAACUUGGGAGCAAAAUAGCCAUGAGGGUGACUUCUGAGGGAGACAUGUCCUAGGUUUGUUCUCUUCAUUUCUGGGGCCCCAGGGAUCAAUCUCAGGAGCUGGACAGAGGGAGGAAAGGGGUGUAGAAGGGGAGGUGGGACCAGGGAGGGAGAAAGAAAGGACUCGGGCAGGUCAAGGCCACUAGCUCCAAACUGGACUUUAGAGUGUCUGAUAGUAUCUUAUCAGGGAUUUAACAGGGAUGUGAUAGUUGCAGAGGCAGAAUGAGAAAGACAAGAAUUGAGUGAACUGGUUUGGGGAAGGCAGCCAACAGCCACAGAAACUGUGAAAAUCCCAUGCUCCCCACUGGCCCCCUGCCAGACCGGCCACCUCACUAUGCUGGACCCACUGAGGACAAUGUCUCCUCCCUUCAGCUGGGGCCUUUUCCUUCCUGGCCCUUCCUGGGAAAGGAGGGAGAACAAUUGAGCCUGACAGUUUAUACCCAGGUGUCUGCGCCCAUAAGCCUUCUAAACCGGAUACCACAUGUCCAUCCGGCCACCGUAGCGCAGCCAUCACGCAGCAAGCAGUCACCUUGGCUGCUUUCCAUCCAGUUCUGACCGUGCUGAGCCCCAAAGAGGCAGCCUGUUGUCUUUUUCCCCAGGGUUUAUGAGCCCAGCUUUGGUUUUCUCAUCUGUCCCCUUUGAUGGCAAUAGAAUGUUAGGCCUCAAUCCAAAACUGGUAUAUGUCAAAAGAGAGAGAGACAGAGAAGGAAGGAAGAGAUGGGGGGGAGAAUGUAUGCCUAAUUUGGACUCUAGGGAUGCAACCAGUAUAAAUUUGGAGGGAAAGGUAAACUCCCUAACCGACUGGAAGAGAAACACUGAAGCCGAGGGCCUGCUGCAUUGCCCAUGGGACGCCCUUCUGGGAGUGGGGGGCGUGGCCGCUGCCGCGGGAGAAGGCUCAGACGAAACAUUCGACUGUCAUCCUGUCUACAUUGGUAGCUGGUCGAGGAAUCCGUUUCCUCAUCUAGAGCACGGGCCAGCCUCACGCAGCUCCCAGAACCUGAUCUGUCAUCACACUCCACGCGGCAGCGGCUGGGAAUUUCACCAGCUUCUGGCCUGACCAAAGCAGCCUUGGACGCAGUGAAAGGUCACGCUCUGUGAUGCCACAGGAUUCACUGGGUCUUACUCUCACCCCUGCGAAACCCCACUCUCCGUCUCCACAUUGAUGCCAGCCUCCAGGGGUCUAAGUGUGUCUUAAACAAGUCCUUUCAGCUGUGAUGUGGUUUUCCACUGGGCAGGACCACCCGAUCUUUUAGGUACCCCUCAUCCAACACCACCACGCCUCGCCUCACAGACUGAGCACCAGGACUGGGGCCACCACUGGUCCCUUCUACUCCACUAGAGUGUUCCCGCAGCAGAACUGCUUUCCCCGACACGUUUGUGUUUUGGUGAAAUUGGUCUUCUGGUUUUCAUGUGUGAAUCCCAGAGGCUGACCAACAGAUGUCACACCCAACUCCACGCCCCUCCACGCCUAUAGCUCCGAGGCUUCACUUGGACCCAGCAUGUCACACCCAACUCCUCUCCCUUAAGAGGGGUGCCUCCCAGGAGGCCACUCAGGCUGUGUACCCAGGUGAGUCAGUCCUCACGCCCUCCACCCUAUGACUGCACGCCCACCCACAGCUCAAGCUAGAGCCCACAUUGUAAGCCCACCCCAUGUGACCUGCAGCCUCGUGGAGCCUGGCCAGGCCUGCAGGGUGGAGGGGCAACAUCACUCAGAGCCCAAAGAUUGGGAAGCAGAUACCCUGGGGAGGACGCGUGAUGCCAGAGAACAGCGGAAGCCAAGGAUCAGGCACCUCGUGCACCCAGUCCCCACCUGUGGAAACAGCUGUUCAAACUAUAACCAAACCAGGCUGAUUGUGUCAGUCACUGAAGGAAAGUCUGCAUAAAUAGAGCUCAGAAACCAAGCUUAUCUCUCAGGAUUGCCCAAUGGGCUAGAUUUAUCCAGCAACCCCAGAUGGGUGCAGACCAUGUGCUGGGGAAAGCCUGCAGCAAACCUGGACGGGAGAGGCCUGCUGGCAGACAGCAGGGACAGAGCCCCUGCUGGAGACAGGGACACAUCCGAGGGCGAGUGGGUAAUCAAGUCUCCUGGGGAAGGGGAAGCGGGAGGAGAGGGGCUGGAGGAAGGUGAGAUGGGAACCCAGGCCCCAGCCCAGUCAAUUCCGCAGCAGGAAAACAGGCGUCCACCCUGACCCCAGCCAACAAGGCAGGACAGGAGAGCUGCAGGGCCGCCUUGGCGUCCCCUGGUCCCCUUGGCUCCUCAUGAUGCCCUGGGUGACCCUGGGCUACUCUGGGCAAAGGUCAGACUGGGAGGUCUGGCUCAGUGGGCUGCUCUGUGUAUGGGUGGGUGGGGUGGAGUGCGGGGGUGGAGAUUCCCCUGAGUGUCUGAGCAGAGAGGCAGCCCCGUGGAGACGGUGGCUUCUGCCCUGGCUGCUACCCCACCAGGCACUGGCUGCCGACCCCAGAGGCGAACCAGUGCAUCACUACUCAGAAUUCCAACCUCGGCCCACUAUUCCCUACCCCCAUCCCCAGAAGCAGCCAGUUUUCCCCGUCUGUAGGCCCUACCCAUCCUUCAGUGCUGUCUGUAAUAGAAAGAAUCAUACUAAUAACCAUGAAUUAUGAAAUACAUCCUCUUGGCUGGGCAUCUUGGUCCAUCUUCACAGCGACCCUCGGAGGUAAGUCCCGUCCUCGUCCCCAUUCUACAGAUGCAGAAACAGGCUGGGAAAGGUGAAUUAAAUUACCAAAGUCAGCUCACCAAAUUAGUCAGUAGGGGAAAGGGACUCAGGCCCAGGUCUGUGUGCGUCCCUCUCACGGCCUGUAUUUUGUAGACCUGCUGCUACGUGUCUGCCCCUCAGUCAGGAGUCUUGGGGGACAGGCACAGACUGGGUUUUUGCUCCCUGAAUCUUCAGUCCCCGGCACGGAGGAAGUGAUAGCGUUUGUUGAAAGACAAAUCUUGCGGAAAGAACAAGCUUGUUCCAGAACAUCCCCAUGUCCCUUCUCUGUCCCCUGGGCCUCUCCCCACCCUCCCAGGCUUUGCAGCCGCCAGCACUUGGCAUAGGAGGAGCCAGUCUCGCUGGGACUAGGCCUCUGAGGAAGGAACUGGCUUGUGACUUGUCUGUCCUGUAGCUCCCUCCAAAGGAAGCCCCUCCCCGGGAGCAGGCGGGCCAGGGACAUGCCCUUAGUCCCUAGAGGAGAUAAUGCCUUUGUCCCUAUUCAGAUAAACAAACAGAGCUGCUAGAACUCGUGUAAGGCAAGGUGCAGGAGCAGCACCCCACCCACAGACAGAGGCCUGGCCUUCCUCCCAAGGUCACCAGCAGGAGCCUGAGCUCUGCAAGGCCCAGUCAGAUAGAAGGGCCAAGCGUAGCCCAUUUUGCAGAUUGAUAAACUGGUGCCCAGAGCGGGGAAGCCACAUGUCCAUUCCUGCAAGCUUACCAACUUCCCUGCCUCUUCCCACCCCCAAGGAACCCACAGAAGCACGGAGCCUCAGGGUCACAGCACGCUGGGGCAGCGUUCACAGUGUGGUCCCUGGACGGGCACCCCCUGGGGUCCUGUGAUGCAGCAGCCCUUCCACAUGCGCGUGCAUGUGUGCACGUCCACCAUCACCACCCUUGACCCUGGGCCCCUCCAGACCCUUCUACUUUUCCCUUUCCCCCACUUCCCUUACCCCCUCCCUGCGCUGUCAGAUCAGAGCCACAGGAAGCAGGGCCAGCAAGUGUGCAAACUGAGAGCCAAGAUGGGGAAGUUGAUUCUCUAAGAAUCAUCUAAACACAUGGGGAAUAUUUUUAGUCCCUGGCUCCCACCCAGAUGCCAAAUCUAAACAGGGGGCCAGGGAGACAGCCUGCCAGGCAAGCGGAGCAGCUCGUGGUAACAGGGUGGGACAGGGUGCUGCAGACCCCACCCUGCCCCUGGCCCAGAAGUCGGAUGACUGUCAAAGGAGAAACCUGGCCUUGGAGCCACGGAGGUGCAGGGAAGUGACCCCAGGUUCUGAAAAGUCCCUUAACCCCUCUCUGUGCCUUGGUGUCCUCGCUCGUGGGACGGGAGAAACACCACCCCCAUAGGAUUGUUCUGAAACUCAUGGCCAGCACCAGCGGGCAUCCAGUGAAUGUGCAUCGUGGUCUGUGCUGGGAACUGCAGACCUCAGAGAAGUCAGAUUGUGGCCCAAACUAUCAGCCGCUGAGCAUUCCCCCGGCCUGGCCGGCUGCACUGAAGUGUGUGUGUGUGUGUGUGUGUGUGUGUGUGUGUGUGUGUCUCAAUGGGGAGAGCUGUGUGUGUGUGUGUGUGUGUCAAUGGGGAGAGCUGUGUGUGUGUGUGUGUGUGUGUGUGUGUGUGUGUGUGUGUGUCAAUGGGGAGAGCUGUGUGAGGGGCCAGGCCAGGCUGGGCACAGGGAACUUAGAGCACCUUCUUCAGAGAGGGGGUCUGCAGGGGGAGCAGUGGUACAGCGGAGGGAGUGAAAUUACCCAGAAGGGGAGGUUCUCAGAAACACACCCACCUGGGGUGACUGGCCAGGAGUGACCUUGCUGUGAGUCUCGUGCUGACAGCACCUGCUCGGCCUCCAGGUGCAGGGAGGGUGGGCAGAUCUCCGGGCCCUGGAUAAGCUAUGCCCAUUCCGGCCCCCACUGGCCAGGUUAAUAUUAAUUUGGGGUCAGAGAGACAGGGGAGAGUAGUCCACCCUCUGCCUGGGGUGGGAGAGGCCAAGGCUCCCCUAAUCUCUUGCAAACAGCUAGGACUUCCUCAUUCUGCUGCCACCUUACUCACUGAACGUUGCCUUGAGGGCAGGGACGGGGUGGAGGUUAGGGGGUGUAGCUGGGGAGGAGGAGGGGCAGUUCAGACCUCUGAGAGCCCUCAGCUGGCAAGGGGGAGGGGGUGGGGGUGCAGCUUAGCGCUUAGAUCCCCCGCAGGCUGCAGGCUGUGUGGGAACCGAAGAGAACAGGUUCGUGUCCACACACCCCCUGCUGACACAAGCUGCCUGCUGUUGCCAUAGUGAUAGUAAUGCCAAGUCCCCCACACGGCUGUGUGACCACCAGUGAAGGGACUGGGGUGCUUAUUCUUGGUCACGAAGGGGAAGAGGGAGGGGGAGGCUCCCGUGGAGGGCGAGCAGCCCUUCCCUGCCCCCAGCUGGGGGUGUCCCGGGAGUCUGAGAGUAUGGGGGUGGGAGAAGGCUUAGAGGUCCCCUCUGACCCGCUUCCCCUCCGGAGACCAGCAGCAAGCAAGUGCCCGCCUGGCUCCACAUCUUCCAUGGGACGCUCUUCACCUCCGGACCGGAAGCUUCUUAGACAGGUGGUCCCCACACCAAUUGACCUGGCCUGGCCCCAGGACCCCUCUUCACCCGGCAAGUCCAGUUCUUGGCCUCUUCCCCUCGUUUCACUCUCCUCCCAAACUCCAGCCCUGCCCUGGGUGGUGAGGUCCCAGGUCCUGCGGCCCCUUUACCCCUGGCUCCCAGGCCGGGCUUGACUUGAGACCAGCCCAUGCGGCCCUUAUAUCUUUCUCCCCUGGUUUUCUGGACCCUCCUCUCUGCACCUGCAGCCUCCUAGUCUCGCGCUCUCCUUGAGCCCCAGAAAGGGAAAAACCAUUAGAAAGACAAUCUUGGAGUGGUGGGGCUGCCUUCACUGACAGCAACUAAGUACAAGGGCCAAAUGCCCUUGGAUUCACCUGUGACCCAUCAGCUCCUGGAGACAGCAGCGAGCUCCUCUAACUGCCCCCUGCCCCUCACCCCUGCAGCCCCUGUACUGCAGCCCCCCACCCCCACACACUCGGCGUCUCCUCGCUCCCCCUCCCCUCCCCCUCUCCUCCUCUCCUCCCUUCCUCACCUUUCUCCUCCCUCCCCUCCCUCCUUCCUCCUCUCCCCUCUACCAUCCUCUCUCCUCUGUCAGCUGCUCUCUCUUGCUUUCUCCCUCCCUCCCUCCACUCCUCGCUGGCCUCCCUGCGGGUCCUCCGACAGGCCCCCUCCCCUCCAUGCAUGAACACUCGCUGGCCUCCAGAUGGCCUCCCUUCCUGGCUUCCUUCAAGUCUUCAAGCUGCACCUGCCUUCCCUGACCACCUUCCCUUCCUGCUUUAGCUUUCUCCGUGGCUCUCACCGCCUUCUGCCUUCUGACAUUGAACAACGUGACACCGUAUAAUGUGUCUGUUUUAUUUAUAGUGUCUCCUGUGAGACUGUGAACUCCAGGAGGACAGGCAUUUUUGUCUGUCUUAUCCCCAGUGCCUAGAACAUAGAUGCUCAAGAAAUCCCUUGAGGCAAAUAAAUGGUCCCAUCACCCACCCCAACUAGGCUACACCCUCACAGGACCCGCACCCUCCACUCAUCGUCCUCACGCAGAGCAGAAAGCGCUGGCUGGUCUCAGGUGGCUCGGCCAUGGCCUCUCCGUGUGGCCUCCGUCCAGCUUCUUCUCCUUUCUGGGCCUCAGCUUCCCUCCCCCGUUUUAUAAUGGAGAGGAUGGACUGGAACUUCUCCGGCUUUCGCUGUGUUGGAGCUUUGAGGUCCCUUCAGCAUCUUCCCAAGUCAGGUGUCGACAGGGAAUUCACAAGGGUUGGAGGGGGGCCUGGUGGUCCCUGCUCAGAAGAAAUCUCCAGGCCUUAAGUUCCCUACCCUGGCACCGGGUGGGUUGAGGGGAACGGCAGCAGUAGCAGCGGGAACUAUAAACAGACUUCAGAAAGAUUUCUCCAAAAACAUAUCCAUAUUUUAAUCACCAUCCAAGUCCAACCUGGGAAGCCUGAGGAACAGAAGCCAAAGCCCACUUAAGGGCCGAGACCAGAGGUCAAGUGUCCAGAAGUGAGCCAUCAUCGGAGGAAGCCCGCUGUCAGGCAGGUUUUUCAGCCUCUCCUUGGCAAAGGUGGACCAGGGCCAGUGCAUCUUCCCAGGAGGAACCCAACCCUCCAGUCCUCCAGAAACUCCGGGGUCCCAGGACCAGCCCUUGUGGUGACAGAGAUGAUGACAGGAGGUGCCAGUAAAGACUCACAGUCACUCCAUGUUCCCUGUUCCGUGAGCAUCAGGAGUGGAGACUUUCGAUCUGCUUGGUUGAUUGCUCUUGUAACUACACUCUUCAGGAAACAGAAGCCAGGAAAACAUGAUGUUGAUGAGAUCAAGGCAAGGAACUGGGUCUAUGUCCAAAGGCUGAAGGAAGAGGCUAGGAGUUUUUGCAAGAUGCCCCUUCAGACCUCACAACGGGCCAGCCAAGUCCCUCCUGCAAAGCGGCUCACAACUCCCUCCUUCUCUGCACCCUCACCCCUAACGCCUUGACUCCAAGGGAGGAACUGCUAGGUUUAGACAGGAGGUUUGGCCAGGUGGCCCCCAAGCACCAUCCAAGGGGUAGCUGAGCUGGAGACUGGCAGGUAGGGGCCUCCUUCGAAGGCGAUGAUUCCCUUUGGGGUCCUAGAAGGUGUCGGAUCAGGUCCCUGUGUGCAGACUCCAGAGGCGCCUUUAGCUCCUUAUCAAAUAUUAACACCCCUCUCCUGCCACCUCCCAUCUAGGCGAAUAAUUAAGAGCUCGGCCUCACCAUUAAUCUUUAAACGAAAAUCACCCUGGCCGGAAAGACCGGCUGGGCCGGGACCACGGGUCUCCGGAGGCCCCCCGCCAGGCUCACAACACAGUGCGGUGUCUCCGGAGGUGAAGGGCUCUGGCAGCCUCCGGGGAAUAAGGAACCCAGGGCGGGAAGCGGGGAUGCCAGGGGAAGCGGGGAUGCUAGGGCCCCACCGCGCCCAAUUUGUUGUCCUUGCUCUGGGCCGGGGGCAGUCACCCAGCACUGAGCCCCCGUAAGAUGGACAGCGACCCGCGACAGACCGAGGAGAACUAGAAAGGGCGCGACACUCCAAAAAGGGUGAGAAACGGAGGGGUGCGUGGAGGCGGCUCAGGGAAGCAUCCUCGCCAGGGACCCGCACUCCGCCGGGCUCUGCGCGCUGCAGCCGCGUACACGCGAGCACUCGCUGCUCCGCGCCCGCCCCUCUCGGCCGCCCGCGCCGUCCGGAUCGCCUAUGGGGCGCAGCCUCGGCGGACGGCACGGGGCGGGGGCGCCGAGGGCCCACCGAGGGGCCACCGAGGGGUCCCGGGGCCGAAGCCCGCCUUCACCUGCGCGGGCCCAGGGCCGGGCGGCGGCGAGGACCAGGAGCGCCAGCAGCAGCCGCAUCCUGCGCAGGAGCGGAGACGCCGCGGAGCCGGGGGUCGCGCACCGAGGAGGCCGCCGGGGGUGCCGCGGUCAUGCCGGCCGGGGUUUUAUAGCGGAGCCGCGACGGGAGGGAGCCUCGACAGCAGGACACCGGCUGCUCCAAACUUAAUUUCUUAGCAUCGCAAAGACUCUUCUUCCAACACAGAGUGAGGACGCCACUAAAUUGCUCCCCCUUCAGGAGACUUCCAGGAUACUACUACCACGUGCAAGCUCAUUUAACAUCUGACCUAUGCCUACAUAUCAGAGGGGAAACUGAGACAAGAAACUGAGAAUGUCAGCAAGUCCCCUAAAGACCCCACCCUAGCCACUUCCUUCAGGGCUGGCCGGGAAGCAGCUGGGCAAUCAGCUGGGGGCCUCUGAGAACCUGUGGACCAGCAGCCCCUUGUGGAGUCUUCCGCUAGCUUGGAUCCUCUUUUCUCACAGGAAACAUUCCAC